CGCCUUGGAUGUGAGGAGGUUGGAGAUGUAGUCUGCUUUGGUCUCAUGUUUUUAUUCUGCCCAUGUUUUCAUUCUGCCCAUGUUUUCAUUAUACGAAUAUUUCAUCCCAAGUCUGGCCUCACUUGGAUUACAAAAUUACACGAUUUUACUGAAGCUGCUAUAUCCAAUACCAAUGGCAGCCCUAUUGCUUCUUCUUCCCAUUUCAGGCUUAUCAUGUCCCAGAUCUGGGACUCAACUGCUCACUUGGUGCCGUGUGGCAGCUGUCUCUCAGGCAGCUAUGUAGCACGUGGGGACACCUCUCCAGGCCCCUCUCACUGAUGGUGAUAUAUCCAUUUGUCUCCUGUGCUGCCAAAGAAGGCUGCCUUUGGAGAUCUUCUUAAUGAUGUCUGUGCGCAUCUCCAGGUCUUGGGUGCAGGACUAACCUAAGCUAACCACUGAUCCAGAUGCUCUUGGAAUCAGCUGGGAGUUUAUACAUCAGUUCCUUGCUGACAUGCUGUCACAUGCAAAUAGUGAUUUAUGAUGCUAAUGCUCUCUCAACACUUUUCUAAUUUUUUAAUAAAGAUACUUCUGUGAAGUAUUCCACUUCAAGCCCAGCCCAGACUUAUUCAUAUGUUUAAGUUAUAAACAGAGUAAUUGGUGGAGCAACAACUUCAUUAAGUUUAACAGUUUAAUAGACUGGCAUGGCUGAGAAAGAAAACCUUCCUCCUCUGGAGCUAUCCCCAGGUGGGGAGUCAGGAAAGCAGAACACCACAUUAGUAAUCGUUCCACUGAUGUUUUCUCACUACACCAACAUUAUAUUGGUAAGGAAAUUGCAUGCUUCACUCUUUGACAUAGUUAUGGUGAUAAAUUGGGUAUACAGAAGAACUAAUGAUGAAAUUAAAUGGACUUAUGAAUAUACAUAAGAUCUCUUUCCCAAGGUCAGUUCUGGAUGACACAGCAAAGAUACUACAACAACAGGUAAGAUGUGGGCUCAGUCAGUUGUGGGCAGCAUGUUGCUGAAGGUUGGAUGCAAAUGUUUGCUCAGGGGUACAAAGAGAUGGAGGAAGAUACGAGCAUACAAGGCCAUGAUAUGCCCCUCUGCUCUUGAAGGAGCCCUGUUCUUAAUAGGAAAUUUGGCCUGUUGCCACCUUGAUGCUAAAGAAACCCCUGCACCCCUCACAUAAUGUGCUUUGUUAGAAGGCCAUGCAGAACUUGAGAGCUGAGCUCUGGGUGCUGCAGAGACACGUUCUGUGGAGACAUCUAGUGUUCCAAAGGAUGGAGACUUGAGCUUUUUGGAUGCUACUCAGCAAUUCAGGAGGCAGUUCAGUCUACUUGGCCCCAUCCUAAUCUCCUAGGGCAAGUAAUUUGGGUCAACAUUUCAGCGGUGACUGUUGAUUUUUUAUUCCUUUUUUAAGCACCUUUAUGUUUGAUUGUUUAGUUUUGGGCAAUUAAACUGGAUUCAAGCCAAAGCUGCUAACCUCAACUCUUCAAGAAGGGCUCUCUCAAGUAGUAUAUCCCAAAUACAGGACUCGAAAUUGCCGAUUGCUUCUGAAAAGCCUGUCCUUACAUCCUCUGUCUCUCAGUUCUCUGUGGUGCACACAGAGACAACAGUGCUUCUUUUGCCUCCAGGAAUGCUGACGGCAUGGACACAGUUAAAGUAGAAGGGCACUCUCAGACUCAGCAGAUCAAACAAAGUCUUAAAUAGAUUUUUUUUUUUCAGAUUUGAUUCCAUUUCCAAAGUCUCUGUAAUUACUACCAUACAGAAGUCAUACAUCUCUGCAGGUUUUGCCCCACGAGUGGCUCCUAUGUCAUUCCAGAGGAGCUGCA